GUCUUAGGGCGGCGCCCUUGCUCUGAGCCACCUCUGGACCUCAGAUCCUAGCCUGUCCCGCGUUCCGGUUCUUCCAGGCCUCCUAUUGACGGUCCAGCGCCCGGGGUCGGUGACCUUGCCCCCGCGCCCGGAUCCGUGCGGAGGUAGACCGUGUCCCCGCGCCCUGCUUGGCGCCCUGAUACAAACCAUGACACCGCAUCAAGCUCCUGCCCUGAGAUGGACCGUGCCCCGCGCAGGCUGACCCUGGCCUGGCACGUCCUAAGGGGGCCUGUAGUCUCCUACAGACGUUGUGUGUGCCUUAGCCCACUCCCAGUUGUCCUGAAGGGUAGAGGCGACGUCUCUUAGGACCGUGAUUACACUUUUCCCGUUUCCUCAUGGGCACGCACAGAGUGAGGAACCGACGCAGCUGUCUGCAGAAGUUGUGUUGUGCGCGCUCAAGGAGACGGAGAGGCUCUGGAGCGAGAGGCCCUCGGUGAACGGAUUCUGGAUUCGUCCAACACCAAGAAGGCCUUGCUUGUGUGUCAGGUGACUAUCACAGUUUGCAAGGCGUCCUGUAAAUGCAGUUUCAUCCAGUCCCACACAGCAGCCCGAGAGGCAAGCGGGCUUAUCUGAGCAUCCCUGCUUCUCCAACAGAACACUGAUGGGGCUGGUGGGGAGGCUCAGUGGUCAAGAACACUUAUGCUCUUCCAGAGGCUGAUCUGGUUCAUCCUGGGGACCACCUGCGCAUGCGUGUCGUAGGUUCACGCAGACACAAAAAUAAACAUUUGAGAAGAAAAGAAAAACUGAUCUCGAGGGCAGGUUACAGACUCAAGUUUUGUGUUCUGCCUUCCAGGUUCCGGGAUCAGGAUUUCCAUUUUGCUUUCCUGUAGACACAUAGAGCAUGUAUAGGCUGCACUAAAUAAAGGCUGCUUGGGAACUCUUUUAGGUUAUUUUAAAAAUUCCCUUUAUGUGUUUAUAUUAUUAGUUUGAUUCGGAUUAAAUCAGUAUCAUAAAGCCUGUGGUAUUUGCAUCUCCUUGACUAUCUAAAGCAAAGCACCCAUAGACAUGAUGAAAUAAAAAUAAUAACAACAGAUAAAUAAAAAAAAA
rnacentral:lncRNA from 1 species